rnacentral:rRNA from 1 species
GGCGACGGGGUGGAGUAACGCGUGGGUACCGUAGCCAUAGUACAGGGGAGUAACACUAGAAUAGUGCUAUACCGCAUAAGCGCACGGAGCUGCAUGGCUCAGUGUGAAAACUACCGGUGGUAUAUGAUGGACCCGGCGUCUGAUUAGCUUGUUGGCGGGGUAACGGCCCGACCAAGGCGACGAUCAGUAGCCGGCCUGAGAGGGUGGACGGCCACCAUUGGGACUGAGACACGGCCCAAACUCCUACGGGAGGCAGCAGUGGGGAAUAUUGGACAAUGGGGGGGAACCCUGAUCCAGCGACGCCGCGUGAGUGAAGAAGUAUCUCGGUAUGUAAAGCUCUAUCAGCAGGGAAGAAAGAAAUGACGGUACCUGACCAAGAAGCCCCGGCUAACUACGUG